AGCGAACGCUGGCGGCAGGCUUAACACAUGCAAGUCGAGCGGGCCCUUCGGGGUCAGCGGCAGACGGGUGAGUAACGCGUGGGAACGUGCCCUUCGGUUCGGAAUAACUCAGGGAAACUUGAGCUAAUACCGGAUACGCCCUUAUGGGGAAAGGCUUGCUGCUGAAGGAUCGGCCCGCGUCUGAUUAGCUAGUUGGUGAGGUUAUGGCUCACCAAGGCCGAGAUCAGUAGCUGGUCUGGGAAGAUGAUCAACCACACUGGGGCUGAGGCACGGCCCAGACCGCUACGGGGGGGAGGAGGUGGGAAAACUUGGCCAGGGGGGCAAACCCGGCACAGCCAUGCCGCGUGAGUGAUGACGGCCUUAGGGUUGUAAAGCUCUUUUCUCCGGGACGAUAAUGACGGUACCGGAGGAAUAAGCCCCGGCUAACUUCGUG
rnacentral:rRNA from 1 species